rnacentral:rRNA from 1 species
UACGUAGGGUGCAAGCGUUAAUCGGAAUUACUGGGCGUAAAGCGUGCGCAGGCGGUUCGCUAAGACAGAUGUGAAAUCCCCGGGCUUAACCUGGGAACUGCAUUUGUGACUGGCGGGCUAGAGUAUGGCAGAGGGGGGUAGGAAUUCCACGUGUAGCAGUGAAAUGCGUAGAGAUGUGGAGGAAUACCGAUGGCGAAGGCAGCCCCCCUGGGCCAAUACUGACGCCUCAUGCACGAAAGCGUGGGGAGCAAACAGG